UACGGAGGAUGCGAGCGUUAUCCGGAUUUAUUGGGUUUAAAGGGUGCGCAGGCGGUCUGUUAAGUCAGCGGUCAAAGCCCGGGGCUCAACCCCGGCCCGCCGUUGAAACUGGCUGGCUUGAGUUGGGGAAAGGCAGGCGGAAUGCGCAGUGUAGCGGUGAAAUGCUUAGAUAUUGCGCAGAACUCCGAUUGCGAAGGCAGCCUACCGGCUUCUGUCUGACGCUGAGGCACGAAAGCGUGGGUAUCGAACAGG
rnacentral:rRNA from 1 species